rnacentral:rRNA from 1 species
GACAGAGGAUGCAAGCGUUAUCCGGAAUGAUUGGGCGUAAAGCGUCUGUAGGUGGCUUUUCAAGUCCGCCGUCAAAUCCCAGGGCUCAACCCUGGACAGGCGGUGGAAACUACCAAGCUGGAGUACGGUAGGGGCAGAGGGAAUUUCCGGUGGAGCGGUGAAAUGCAUUGAGAUCGGAAGGAACACCUUUGGCGAAAGCGGCUCACUGGACCAUUACUGACGCUGAUGCACGAAAGCUAGGGGAGCAAACAGG